GAGGAAUAAGCAUCGGCUAACUCCGUGCCAGCAGCCGCGGUAAUACGGGGGAUGCAAGCGUUAUCCGGAAUCAUUGGGCGUAAAGCGCCUGUAGGUUGUUUAUCAAGUCUGUUGUUAAAGACUAGGGCUUAACCCUAGAAAAGCAAUGGAAACUGAUAGACUAGAGUAUGGCAGGGGUAGAGGGAAUUUCUAGUGUAGCGGUGAAAUGCGUAGAUAUUAGAAAGAACACCGGUGGCGAAAGCGCUCUACUGGACCAUUCCUGACACUCAGAGGCGAAAGCUAGGGUAGCAAAAGGGAUUAGAUACCCCUGUAGUCCUAGCCGUAAACGAUGGAUACUAGAUGUUGUGCUUCAUGUACAGUAUCCUAGCUAACGCGUUAAGUAUCCCGCCUGGGGAGUACGCUCGCAAGGGUGAAACUCAAAGGAAUUGACGGGGGCCCGCACAAGCGGUGGAGCAUGUGGUUUAAUUCGAUGCAACGCGAAGAACCUUACCAGGGCUUGACAUACUACAAAUUUUUUGGAAACAGAAAAGUGCCUUCGGGAAUGUAGAUACAGGUGGUGCAUGGCUGUCGUCAGCUCGUGUCGUGAGAUGUUGGGUUAAGUCCCGCAACGAGCGCAACCCUUAUUUUUAGUUACCAAUUCGUUGGGUUCUCUAGAAAGACUGCCGGUGACAAACCGGAGGAAGGUGAGGAUGACGUCAAGUCAGCAUGCCCCUUAUGUCCUGGGCUACACACGUGCUACAAUGGCUAAGACAAAGAGUUGCGAGCUCGCGAGAGUCAGCUAAUCUCAUAAACUUAGCCUAAGUUCAGAUUGUAGGCUGCAACUCGCCUACGUGAAG
rnacentral:rRNA from 1 species